CCCGACUGCUAUUUGGGUGAGGAUAAACCAUGCGAGUCGAAUGGGAUACCUAAAAUUCCCAUGGCAAACUGCUCAGUAACACAUGAUCAACUUACCCUAUGGAGAAAAAUAAUCUCGGGAAACUGAGGAUAAUGUUUCAUAGUUGAAUUGGCUUGGAAAAGUUUUUCAAUUAAAGGGAUAAGAAAAAUGGUUCUUAUCUGCCAUAGGAUAGGAUCGUGGUCGAUUAUGGUUGUUGGUGAGGUAACGGCUCACCAAGCCGACAAUCGAUAGGGGCCGUGAGAGCGGGAGCCCCGAGAUGGGUACUUAGACAGCGACCCAGGCCUUACGAGGCGCAGCAGGUGCGAAACCUCCGCAAUACACGAAAGUGUGACGGGGUUACCCAAAGUGUUCUUAAAUGAACUGUGGUAGGUGAGUAAUGUCCCCUACUAGAAAGGAGAGGGCAAGGCUGACUAGAAUGAGGAUUACAUAAAUUCCCCAUUCUAGGCCUAUGUGCCAGCCGCCGCGGUAAAACCAGCUCUUCAAGUGGUCGGGAUAAUUAUUGGGCUUAAAGUGUCCGUAGCCGGUUUAGUAAGUUCCUGGUAAAAUCGGGUAGCUUAACUAUCUGUGUGCUAGGAAUACUACUAUACUAGAGGGCGGGAAAGGUCUGAGGUACUACAGGGGUAGGGGUGAAAUCUUAUAAUCCUUGUAGGACCACCAGUGGCGAAGGCGUCAGACUGGAACGCGCCUGACGGUGAGGGACGAAAGCCAGGGGAGCGAACCGGAUUAGAUACCCGGGUAGUCCUGGCCGUAAACGAUGCAUACUAGGUGAUGGCACGGCCAUGAGCCGUGUCAGUGCCGUAGGGAAACCGUUAAGUGUGCCGCCUGGGAAGUACGGUCGCAAGGCUAAAACUUAAAGGAAUUGGCGGGGGAGCACCACAAGGGGUGAAGCCUGCGGUUCAAUUGGACUCAACGCCGGGAAACUUACCAGGGGAGACAGUAGAAUGAUGGUCAGGUUGACGACCUUACCUAACGAGCUGAGAGGAGGUGCAUGGCCGUCGCCAGUUCGUGCUGUGAGGUAUCCUGUUAAGUCAGGCAACGAACGAGAUCCGCGCCUUUAUUUGCCAGCAAGAAGUCACGACUUCGUUGGGAACACUAAAGGGACCGCCGUCGAUAAGACGGAGGAAGGAGCGGGCAAAGGCAGGUCAGUAUGCCCCGAAACCCCUGGGCUACACGCGGGCUGCAAUGGUAUGAACAAUGGGCUGUAACUCCGAAAGGAGAAACCAAUCCCGAAAUCAUAUCUCAGUUGGGAUUGUCGGCUGUAACCCGCCGACAUGAACGUGGAAUCCCUAGUAAUCGUGUGUCAUCAUCGCACGGUGAAUACGUCUCCGCUCCUUGCACACACCGCCCGUCGCUCCAUCCGAGUGUGCUAAAAAUGAGGUAUGGUCAGAGUGGUCGUAUCGAAUUUCUAGUAUGCGAGGAGGGAG
rnacentral:rRNA from 1 species